rnacentral:rRNA from 1 species
GACGAACGCUGGCGGCGUGCUUAACACAUGCAAGUCGAACGGAAAGGUCCUGCUUUUGUGGGUUUCUCGAUUGGCGAACGGGGGAGUGACACACGAGUAACCCGCCCUUGUCUUUGUGAUAACUUCAGGAAACUGCGGCUAAUAUCGGGUAGGAGCUCCUGCUGCACGGGGUGGGUUGGAAAGUUUCGGCGGUUGUGGAUGGACUCGCGGCUUAUCAGCUUGUUGGUGGGGUAGGGGCUUACCAAGGCUUUGACGGGUAGCCGGCGUGGGAGGGUGACCGGCCACCUUGGGACUGAGAGACGCACCAGACUCCUACGGGAGGCAGCAGUGGGGAAUAUUGCACAAUGGGCGGAAGCGUGAUGCAGCAACGCCGCGUGCGGGAUGACGGCCUUCGGGUUGUAAACCGCUUUCGCAUGUGACGAAGCGUGAGUGACGGUAAUGGGUAAAGAAGCACCGGCUAACUACGUG